rnacentral:rRNA from 1 species
GACGAACGCUGGCGGCGUGCUUAACACAUGCAAGUCGAACGAAGUGGCGAACGGGUGAGUAACGCGUAAUCAACCUGCCCUUCAGAGGGGGACAACAGUUGGAAACGACUGCUAAUACCGCAUACUGAAGGCGGGUAUUGCGUCUGAUUAGAUAGUUGGAGGGGUAACGGCCCACCAAGGCGAUGAUCAGUAGCCGGGCUGAGAGGAGGAACGGCCACAUUGGGACUGAGACACGGCCCAGACUCGUACGGGAGGCAGAAGUGGGGAAUAGUCAGCAAUGGACGAAAGUCUGACGGAGCAACGCCGCGUGAGGGAUGACGGCCUUCGGGUUGUAAAGCUCUGUUAAUCGGGACGCGGUACCGGAAUAGAAAGCCACGGCUAACUACGUGCCAGCCGCCGCGGUAAUAC